UCUAUUCUCAUCCUCGACUAUUUUCUAGAACUUUAGCAGACUAAACACGUCUGUUUUUAUUUUUUUCCGACGUUGUUUUAUUUAACAACGUCUAAUAUUUAUCGUCGUUGUUUGUUUCUGAAAAUAGGACGUAUAAAUUUUGUAAUACGACUCUCAUAUAUUUGUAACCGACGUUGUGUAGUUUUUCAACGUCUACUCUAU
rnacentral:lncRNA from 1 species